rnacentral:rRNA from 1 species
AACGAACGCUGGCGGCAUGCCUAACACAUGCAAGUCGAACGAGACCUUCGGGUCUAGUGGCGCACGGGUUCGUAACGCGUGGGAACCUGCCCUUAGGUUCGGAAUAACUCCCCGAAAGGGGUGCUAAUACCGGAUAAUGUCUUCGGACCAAAGAUUUAUCGCCUUUGGAUGGGCCCGCGUUGGAUUAGCUUGUUGGUAGGGUAAAAGCCUACCAAGGCGACGAUCCAUAGCUGGUCUGAGAGGAUGAUCAGCCACACUGGGACUGAGACACGGCCCAGACUCCUACGGGAGGCAGCAGUGGGGAAUAUUGGAAAAUGGGCGAAAGCCUGAUCCAGCAAUGCCGCGUGAGUGAUGAAGGCAUUAGGGUUGUAAAGCUCUUUUACCCGGGAUGAUAAUGACAGUACCGGGAGAAUAAGCUCCGGCUAACUCCGUG